rnacentral:rRNA from 1 species
UACAGAGGUCUCAAGCGUUGUUCGGAUUCAUUGGGCGUAAAGGGUGCGUAGGCGGCGCGGUAAGUCGGGUGUGAAAUCUCGGGGCUUAACUCCGAAACUGCAUUCGAUACUACCGUGCUUGAGGACUGGAGAGGAGACUGGAAUUUACGGUGUAGCGGUGAAAUGCGUAGAUAUCGGGAGGAAUACCAGUGGCGAAGGCGGCCUUCUGGACGGAUACUGACGCUGAGGCGCGAAAGCCAGGGGAGCAAACGGG